UAAGGAAUAUUGGACAAUGGGGGCAACCCUGAUCCAGCCAUGCCGCGUGCAGGAAGAAGGACCUAUGGUCUGUAAACUGCUUUUAUACAAGAGAAAACCCCCGCUCGUGAGCGGGGCUGAUAGUAUUGUAAGAAUAAGCAUCGGCUAACUUCGUGCCAGCAGCCGCGGUAAGACGAAGGAUGCAAGCGUUAUCCGGAUUCAUUGGGUUUAAAGGGUGCGUAGGCGGACAAAUAAGUCAGUGGUGAAAUCUCAUAGCUUAACUAUGGAACUGCCAUUGAUACUGUUAGUCUAGAGUACAGUUGCCGUUGGCGGAAUAUGACAUGUAGUGGUGAAAUACUUAGAUAUGUCAUAGAACACCGAUUGCGAAGGCAGCUAACGAAGCUGUAACUGACGCUGAGGCACGAAAGUGCGGGGAUCAAACAGGAUUAGAUACCCGCGUAGUCC
rnacentral:rRNA from 1 species